rnacentral:rRNA from 1 species
GCUUGUCUCAAAGAUUAAGCCAUGCAUGUCUAAGUACAAGCCUCAGUAAGGUGAAACCGCGAAUGGCUCAUUAAAUCACACCUAAUCUACUGGAAAGUUACUAGUUACUUGGAUAACCGUAGUAAUUCUAGAGCUAAUACAUGCAUGAAUACCCAACUGCUUGUCGGGCGGGUAGCAUUUAUUAGAUUGAAACCAAUGCAGCUUCGGCUGGUAUUGUGUUGAAUCAUAAUAACUGUGCGGAUCGUACUUUGUGCGAUAAAUCGAUUGAGUUUCUGCCCUAUCAGCUUUGGAUGGUAGGAUAUGGGCCUACCAUGGCAUUAACGGGUAACGGGGAAUUAGGGUUUGAUUCCGGAGAGGGAGCCUUAGAAACGGCUACCACAUCCAAGGAAGGCAGCAGG